rnacentral:rRNA from 1 species
GAUGAACGCUGGCGGCGUGCCUAAUACAUGCAAGUCGAGCGAACGGACGAGAAGCUUGCUUCUCUGAUGUUAGCGGCGGACGGGUGAGUAACACGUGGAUAACCUACCUAUAAGACUGGGAUAACUUCGGGAAACCGUAGCUAAUACCGGAUAAUAUUUCGAACCGCAUGGUUCAAAAGUGAAAGACGGUCUUGCUGUCACUUAUAGAUGGAUCCGCGCUGCAUUAGCUAGUUGGUAAGGUAACGGCUUACCAAGGCAACGAUGCAUAGCCGACCUGAGAGGGUGAUCGGCCACACUGGAACUGAGACACGGUCCAGACUCCUACGGGAGGCAGCAGUAGGGAAUCUUCCGCAAUGGGCGAAAGCCUGACGGAGCAACGCCGCGUGAGUGAUGAAGGUCUUCGGAUCGUAAAACUCUGUUAUUAGGGAAGAACAUAUGUGUAAGUAACUGUGCACAUCUUGACGGUACCUAAUCAGAAAGCCACGGCUAACUACGUG